UUGGAAACUGGUUAACUUGAGUGCAGUAGAGGUAAGUGGAACUCCAUGUGUAGCGGUGGAAUGCGUAGAUAUAUGGAAGAACACCAGUGGCGAAGGCGGCUUACUGGACUGUAACUGACGUUGAGGCUCGAAAGUGUGGGUAGCAAACAGGAUUAGAUACCCUGGUAGUCCACACCGUAAACGAUGAACACUAGGUGUUAGGAGGUUUCCGCCUCUUAGUGCCGAAGCUAACGCAUUAAGUGUUCCGCCUGGGGAGUACGACCGCAAGGUUGAAACUCAAAGGAAUUGACGGGGACCCGCACAAGCGG
rnacentral:rRNA from 1 species